rnacentral:rRNA from 1 species
UACGGAGGGUGCGAGCGUUGUCCGGAAUCACUGGGCGUAAAGGGCGCGUAGGCGGUCUGCUAAGCGUGCGGUGAAAGCCUGGGGCUCAACCCCAGGUCUGCCGUGCGAACUGGUGGACUAGAGCACUGUAGAGGCAGGUGGAAUUCCGGGUGUAGCGGUGGAAUGCGUAGAGAUCCGGAAGAACACCGGUGGCGAAGGCGGCCUGCUGGGCAGUUGCUGACGCUGAUGCGCGACAGCGUGGGGAUCAAACAGG